UUAAAUAUGAAUGCGGCCAAAGAGUCAGGUGACGGACCGUGAAAGAAGAGAAAAAAAAAAGUAACAAGAAAAAGUCACCUGACCUGACGUUCACGUUUUGUAAUUAAUUGUUCACGUUUGCCACGUAAAUCAGCCACGCACGCACAGACAGAAUGUUUUCACUUUACACAAUGUACCUAUAAUAAAUAUGUGUUUAUGUCUACUGUGUUAAAAAAUAAAUAAAUACAGACAGACGGAUGGAUGAACUCCAACACCCAGAAGCCGUGAACUAAUGGGCACUCAUCAGGGAAAAAGACGAAAAAUCUCAAUGUCAUGGCAGUUCCUCGCAGCCAC